GACGAACGCUGGCGGCGUGCCUAAUACAUGCAAGUAGAACGCUGAAGGAGGAGCUUGCUCUUCUGGAUGAGUUGCGAACGGGUGAGUAACGCGUAGGUAACCUGCCUGGUAGCGGGGGAUAACUAUUGGAAACGAUAGCUAAUACCGCAUAACAGUAGAUGUUGCAUGACAUUUGCUUAAAAGGUGCAAUUGCACCACUACCAGAUGGACCUGCGUUGUAUUAGCUAGUUGGUGGGGUAACGGCUCACCAAGGCGACGAUACAUAGCCGACCUGAGAGGGUGAUCGGCCACACUGGGACUGAGACACGGCCCAGACUCCUACGGGAGGCAGCAGUAGGGAAGCUUCGGCAAUGGACGGAAGUCUGACCGAGCAACGCCGCGGGAGUGAAGAAGGGUGUCGGAUCGUAAAGCUCUGUUGUAAGAGAAGAACGAGUGUGAGAGUGGAAAGUUCACACUGUGACGGUAUCUUACCAGAAAGGGACGGCUAACUACGUG
rnacentral:rRNA from 1 species